rnacentral:lncRNA from 1 species
AAUGAAUUUACUUUUUUUUAUUAAUUUAAUUUAGUUUAAUUUAACCAAGUAUGGAAUUGCUGUUUUUAAAUCAUUAAAUUAAUCCCCAUUUACCUCCACUCAAAGUGCCACACCGCAAAAUGUAUUUAUUUAUUUAUUUAUUUAUUUAUUUAAAAUGUUUAUUUUAUUUUGUAUUAUUUUAACCAGAUGACAUUUCUGAUAUAAAGUUCAAAAAUACUCCCCCGUUUACAUUCCACUCAAAGAGCAUCACCCCAACACUGAUUUUUGAAUUUAUUUAUUUAAAUGUAUAUUUUUAUUGCUACUUAUUUCUUUCACUUAAUUUAAUUCAUAUUAAACAUUGGCAUGAUAUUUUUGUUUUUAAAUCGUUUAGAAAUUCACCCCCAUUUACUUCCAAUCAAAGUGCCUGUCAGCACCAUUGAUUUUUGCCUUUCAAUUGUAUUUAUUACUUAAUUUAUUAACGAAUGAAUGAAUGAAUGAAUUAAUGUAUGUACAGUAUGUAUGUAUGACUGAAGGCAUGAAAAAGAGGGAGGAGUUGACACGUUGUUUUUCUCUUAAUCGAUGUUACGGCAGAAAUGCUGAGUGGAAGUCUGAUGAAAGCGUGAAUUUUUCUUGGGGAGAAGAAAAAGGGAAGACUUUUAAAAGACAUGAAAACACUCGAGUAGAAAGGGGAAUGCUCAAAUAUGGCCGCCUCUCUGUUUUUAAAUCAUUCAAAAUUAGGCCCCUAUAUACUUCCACUCAGGGUGCCUCACUGAAACAUUCGUUGUUGCCUUUUUCUGUUUCAGGAAUGCUCAAAUAUGGCCCACGACAUCCACUUUUCUGCAGAGUUCAGCUCUAACCUUAAUCAAACACACCUCAGCAUGCUAAUCAUUGUCUUCAGGAUCUUUAGAAAAAGGUGAGUUUGAUCAGGGUUGAAGCUAAACUCUGCAGCACACUGGCCCUCCAGGGCAAGAUUUGAGGAACCCUGAUUUAUUAUUUAUUUAUGAAAAAGAGGGACUAGCUGACAUGUUGUUUUGUUUUUUUUUCACUGUAGAGUGAUUGUAACACAACUUUGUCAGAUUUCUGUUUAUUUUCUAUAUUUUUCCCCCCCGAAACAAAGGGCAUGACAUUUCUGUUUUUAAAAUAAUUAAAUUCAUCUUUAUUUUCUUCCACUCAAAGUGCCUCGCCCCAAUGUGGAUUUUAUUUAUUUAGGUAAAUUUUAUUAAUAAAAAAAUGAAUUUACUUUUUUUUGUUAAUUUAAUUUAGUUUGAUUUAACCAAGUAUGGAAUUGCUGUUUUUAAAUCAUUAAAUUAAUCCCCAUUUACCUCCACUCAAAGUGCCACACCGCAAAAUGUAUUUAUUUAUUUAUUUAUUUAUUUAAAAUGUUUAUUUUAUUUUGUUUUAUUUUAACCAGAUGACAUUUCUGAUAUAAAGUUCAAAAAUACUCCCCCGUUUACAUUCCACUCAAAGAGCAUCACCCCAACACUGAUUUUUGAAUUUAUUUAUUUAAAUGUAUAUUUUUAUUGCUACUUAUUUCUUUCACUUAAUUUAAUUCAUAUUAAACAUUGGCAUGAUAUUUUUGUUUUUAAAUCGUUUAGAAAUUCACCCCCAUUUACUUCCAAUCAAAGUGCCUGUCAGCACCAUUGAUUUUUGCCUUUCAAUUGUAUUUAUUACUUAAUUUAUUAACGAAUGAAUGAAUGAAUGAAUUAAUGUAUGUACAGUAUGUAUGUAUGACUGAAGGCAUGAAAAAGAGGGAGGAGUUGACACGUUGUUUUUCUCUUAAUCGAUGUUACGGCAGAAAUGCUGAGUGGAAGUCUGAUGAAAGCGUGAAUUGUUCUUGGGGAGAAGAAAAAGGGAAGACUUUUAAAAGACACGAAAACACUCGAGUAGAAAGGGGUCUGUCUUUCUUUCACCUGCCCGUGUCUCUUGUUUAAAUAGCUGACUGUUGAGUGUAGUACUCGCUUACGGCCAUACCACCCUGAGCACGCCCGAUCUCGUCCGAUCUCGGAAGCUAAGCAGGGUCGGGCCUGGUUAGUACUUGGAUGGGAGAACGCCUGGGAAUACCAGGUGCUGUAAGCUUUAGUUUUUUCAUCAAAAUUGAUCUAAUAUACUGCAGAUUAGGGUGGCUGAUCUUUAAAUAGACCACACUUUGCAGCAGCCCUCGCUUACGGCCAUACCACCCUGAGCGCGCCCGAUCUCGUCUCUGUCUCUUAUACACAUCU